CCAGACAUUGCAGUCUCUUUCUUCUUGGGAUGUCACAGAACCUGCCUAUCCACUACAUUCUAGAGGCCUUCUCCCAACAGCUCCUAGCUGGGACUUUCAUGGUCUGAGAAGUGAACCUGCGUCCUCCUUGAGCAGGCAGUAAGUGGACUGCAACCUGGCACAUGGAUUGAAGCAACACACCAAUCAGUUCAACAAGAUGACAACUCUGAGUCUGAACCUGAGGAACAGGUGCUGGGGUGAGAGCUCUACUUCUCCAUAGUGCUCAGACUGACAGAAGAUCCAGAACAUGUGUUAGG